rnacentral:lncRNA from 1 species
AUAGUGCUAAUCCAAUUUUUAUGAAGUGUCCAAGUGUCCAUCCUUCAACGAUGAUCCAUAUGAAAAUUAGACCAAGGACAACACUCCUUCUUCACCUUGCUUCAAGAGUUUUAGCCCCUAGAACUUGACUAGCCCUAUAUCAGUCAGGUUUCUCCAAGAAUCUGACUCGACCCUCUCAAAACCUCCUCUAAACUUCUAAUUCUCCUUCUUUAAGACCCUCACAAUCCUUGUUUGGACCAGAUAAGGCUUUGUCUUAAAUCUCAAAGCCUUGUCCUAAAAAUAAGAUAGGUUGUAAGAA